AUCUUUUUCAAGACAACAAGGAGAAAAAGUAAUUAUUCUUCUUUAGGCCUUGGUAUUUUUAUAUGAUUGACAUUCACUCUCUGUCUCUCCCCUAGGCAGCACUUCCAGAUGAGAGUCUGUGCAGAUCAGCUGCAGCAUGCAAAGACCAACCCAUUCUGUUGCUGCACCUGAAAUUCCUCCAUCUCAGAGCUCCUGAGACUCACAUGGAAUCUGACAUAUGCUGAAAUUGAGCUUCCAAAUGUGACCAAGGUGGAACAGAUCUCAUUUCUUAAGGACUUCUCAAAAUGGUCCAGCCUGGGGCCAGGACCCACUCUGGUAUGCUCUACAGUGCAAAAGCAGGCGAAAGUCUGGAAUCAGCGUGUGGAUAGGACCAUGCUCCCUCAGAAGCCCUAGAGGAAACAUUCCUUGUCUCUUCCAGCCUCACGUGGCAGCUGGUGUUUCUUCCCGUGUCACCACAUCUCCCUCAGCUGUCUUCAGCAGUCAUGGAACCUGCUCUUCUUGUGUCUGGAGCUGAAUCUGCUCCGCCUCUCUACUGAGGACCCAUGGGAGGGCAUCUGGAGCCUAUGCAGACAACCCAGGAUAAGGUUUUUCCUCAAACUCCUUCAUCUAAUCCCACCACUUGUCAUGGAAGGCAGUGCUCCCAGGUUCUGGUUCUGAAGAAGGGGCACAUCCUUUGGCCACCAUUCAGCCCACUGGCAAUGACAGUGUGACAGCUAUAAUGAGGGACACUGAGCUGAUUCAUCAGCACUUCAGGAUAGUCAAGAAAGGGUUGGCAUAAAAAAAUAACAACAAAACUGAAAAUAAGUGAGUCCUAAAGCCCAUGAAAUUGACAGGGUAUCCCAGGUAUAGAAGGCUCCAUAACAACCAAGAGAAUUCAGAACCUAUUCAGGGUGAGACCAAAUUCUAGAGUGUAAGACAUCUGAGAAAGAAUUAUGACACAAAUGAUCUGCAGAGAGCAGGUAAACAGAGAGUCUUAGAAAUAAUCACUUGUAUUUUUAUCUUAAUAUAUAUUUAACUAUUUAAGAGAAUGGAAAAAAUUUGCCCCAUAAUGUCAUGAUCAGAGGGUCUAAAGGAGAGUUCUCUGCCAGUUUCUACAAAGCUGAAAUGUGGCCAUCAAUUUGUCCACUAGUUAAACCAUGCAGAGGAUUAGUUUUUCUUUUAAACAUCAUAGCCAAAAUCCUCAUUAAGAUAUUAAGCAUAUGAAAUUCUUCAUAAUGCUAUCAAAGGUGGCAUUUAAUUUAAUAAUUAGGUAGACUGAAUAGAUUAUCCGCAAUGGUGAGAAUCUCAAGUGAAUAUUUCAGCCACUGUAGCUCCUAAUGCUAUAAUACAUACAAGUAAGGGAAAAUUAUUUGAGCAUUGAGAAACGUGUGUUUGAAUUUUCAUUUGGUAUCAAUUCUAAAAGUAAAGGAAAAAAUGCUUCUGCAAGCAUAAGAUUAAAUUUAGUUGAGUGUUUUGUAAGCAUUGUUUUCUUAAAUAAAAAAAGUAAAAUUAUGCCCAGAUUUCCUCUGCUUCUAUUUCUUUCCAUAUUGGUGAAAUCCUGUGCACAGAUGUGUAUACACUGAACAUGAAG